UUUCCGUAGGUGAACCUGCGGAAGGAUCAUUAUUGUAUAACCGAGGUGCGAGGGCUGUCGCUGACCCGAAAGGUCGUGCACGCCCGAGUGCCCUCACACACAUCCAUCUCACCCCUAUGUGCACCACCGCGUGGGUCCCCCUUUGGCUUGUUCGGAGGGGGGCUUACGUUUUCACACAAACUUUGUAUGCAGUGUAGAAUGUAUUUUUUGUUUUUGCGAUCACGCAAUCAAUACAACUUUCAACAACGGACCUCUUGGCUCUCGCAUCGAUAAAGAACGCAGC
rnacentral:misc_RNA from 1 species